ensembl:lncRNA
CGCAAACACAAACACUACAAACACAAACACAAACACAAACACUAUAAACGCAAACGCAAACACAAACACUAUAAACGCAAACGCAAACACAAACACAAGAAACACUAAAAAUAAAUACUUUUUUUUUGCUUCGGUUUAUACAAACUAUAUCGAAAAAAAAGUUCUUUGUACCCAUGGGACGAGCAUUUUUAGUGCUUUUCAAUUCUGUUAUGAAAUUUCAAAAGCAUAUAAAAACUGUGAGCUAGAUAUGUUACUAUGGAAUAAUUUUUAUCAGCUUCUUUUAAUUUUUCAACAAAAAUAUCCAUUUAUAUUUUUACCAUUUUCUCACAGUUUUAAUAAAUAUUUCAAAACAUAUAUACAAAAAAAUACACUAUUUUUAAUUUUUAUUACUUUCUUUAUGGCUUGGACUCGCUUAAUGAAUAUGAAAAAAAAAUUAUUUUCCAUCUAAUGAAACUAUUAUUGAUACACCUUAUUCUCACAACAAAAGUUAUGAACAAUUUGCAACUUUUAAUUAUAAUAAUGAACAAGUCAAAUACCUUGAUAAUACCACAUGUUACAAUAAAUACGAUAUUAAUAAUGAAUAUAAAUAUGAUAAAAACAUACAAAUAAUUCUUAAACGGAAAAAUAUGUUUAUUAAUUCGUUAUCUUAUAAAAAUAAAACUAACAAAAACAACAUAUAUAAAUAUAAAAUAAUCGGUUACAUACGAUUAUUUAAUAUAUUACAAUCAGUAAAAAAAAGCAAUAAAUUAAAAAAAAAUUUUAUACAAUAUGCUUAUAUUAAAUAUAUUGUCAGAUAUAUCAACACCUUUUUAAGAGUUUUAAUAAUCAACACGUCUAAUAAAAAUGUGAACUUUUAUCGAAAUUCGAUACUUAAUGAUUUACAGAAUAUACUCAUGUUUUUAUAUGGUCAUGGAAUACCUCCGUGUUUUGUGAAGGAUCGACCUUGGGUAUACAAACCGCACUAUCUAGAAUAUAUGGAUAUAAAAAACAAAGGAAUACAAAUAAACCCUCUCAUUAAGUUUUUACGGACAUAUCAUGAUAACGAAAAAUUACUAAAAUGGAAAAUUGUAGCAGCUGAAUUUGUAAACAUUUUGAUAGAUAUGAAAGAACUUGUAUUAUUUCUUGAAUGUCCAAGCGAGUCACUUUGCAACUUCAAGUAAGCAAAAAUAAGCAGACAUAAGAAAAACAAAUAUACACAGCGUUAAAUAUAUAUAUAUAUAUAUAUAUACAGAUGCGACCGAUUGUUUGUACAAUCAUAAAUUAUAAUACAUUUUUAUGCAUAUAUGUUUUCACUCAAAUUAAUUACUACGUUUUUAUAUAUAUAUUUGAUACACAUAAAAAAAAAAAAAAAAAAAAAAACAAUCAUAAAUUUCAUGACCCACUUAUUAUUCUUUUAUUUUGUAGCUUUAUAAAAGAAAACGUAUGGCUAAAUUUAAUUAGCGAGAAGCUAAAAAGUAACAUUUAUAAAUUACCAAUGGAUUUGAAAAGAGAUAUAUUACUUUUGUUAAAAAAUAUUCGAUUAGUAGAUAUGUGUUUAGGUACUAAUAAUUAUGAAUAUGUUAACAAUAUAUUUACUGUCUGUUGGUUUAUUAUUGUAAAAAUAUUUCAAAAUUAUGAAAAAAGAAAAAAAAGUGCGUAAAAUAUAUGCAUAGCGUCCUUACAUGCAUAGUUUCCUUACAUGUAUAAUGUCCUUAUAUAUCCUUUUUAAUUUUUUUUUUUUUUUUUUUCACAUUAUUUUUAAAAGUUCCUUAAUUCAUAAUAUGUUUUGUCUUUUUUUUUUUUUUUUUUUUUUUUUUUUUUUUUUUUUUUUNNNNNNNNNNNNNNNNNNNNNNNNNNNNNNNNNNNNNNNNNNNNNNNNNNNNNNNNNNNNNNNNNNNNNNNNNNNNNNNNNNNNNNNNNNNNNNNNNNNNAUCUCGCGUAUAACAGUAUAACACAUCUAUAUAUAUAAAAAAAAAAAUAUAAUAUAUUUUUUAUUUUUUCUCUUAACAAUUUCUUUUAUUUUAUUGCUUUUUUUAAGUAUAUAAAAAAAAAAAAAAAAAAGUGGAUUACUGGAACAAAUAUUACUAUUUCAUGUAUACAAAUUAAAAUCACUACAAUAAAUGUUAAAAUAGUUUUAAAAAUUGAAAGAUG